rnacentral:rRNA from 1 species
ACGGGAGGCAGCAGUGGGGAAUAUUGCACAAUGGGCGCAAGCCUGAUGCAGCGAUGCCGCGUGAGGGAAGAAGGUUUUCGGAUUGUAAACCUCUGUCAACAGGGACGAUAAUGACUGUACCUGUGAAGGAAGCUCCGGCUAACUACGUGCCAGCAGCCGCGGUAAUACGUAGGGAGCAAGCGUUAUCCGGAAUUACUGGGUGUAAAGGGAGUGUAGGCGGGACUGUAAGUCAGAUGUGAAAUAUGCCGGCUCAACUGGCAGACUGCAUUUGAAACUGUCCAGCUAGAGUGCAGGAGAGGCAGGCGGAAUUCCUAGUGUAGCGGUGAAAUGCGUAGAUAUUAGGAGGAACACCAGUGGCGAAGGCGGCCUACUGGACUGUAACUGACGUUGAGGCUCGAAAGCGUGGGGAGCAAACAGGAUUAGAUACCCUGGUA